CUGGGAGACAUCUGACUCUGCCCCCACACGUUCCGGCUCCUGGAGCUCAGAGCAGUCCUCGGGGGGUCUCCCCAGAGUCUCACAGCCACCCUCAGACAUGAGAUGCGUGUGGCCAGGAAGCUGCCCUGCACACAUGAUGCGCUGAACCUCACUCCAUGCCAGUCGCGUUGGGGACCGGAGACACGAAGGCCACCCAGGCCUCUGGGGCUCGGCGUGCCGGAGAGCCGCCCCCGAGGAGACCCGCGUGGGAGUCGCGGGUGGUGCUAAGGUGGACAUGCAUCGUCUUCUUCUCAGCCCAGGAGCUGAUCCACAGGGUUGUCGUGUUUCCCAUCUUCCAGCUGCAGUUUCUCAGCCGUGUUUUUCA